rnacentral:rRNA from 1 species
UACGGAGGGGGCGAGCGUUGUUCGGAAUUACUGGGCGUAAAGGGCGUGCAGGCGGUCUGCCAAGUCAGGUGUGAAAGCCCGGGGCUCAACCCCGGAACGGCACUUGAUACUGGCAGGCUGGGGUGCAGGAGAGGCAGGCGGAAUUCCCUGUGGAGAGGUGAAAUUCGUAGAUAUUGGGAAGAACACCGGUGGCGAAGGCGGCCUGCUGGACUGUAACCGACGCUGAGGCGCGAAAGCGUGGGGAGCAAACAGG